CUCAGAUCGAUUCAAAAAGACCAAUAUACCCCUCCUUCCUCUUCAAACGCCUGAAACCCUCUUCUUCUCCAACACUAUUCUUCUACAUCCUCAUCAUGGGAACGAAGAUUGAUUUUGAAAUUCUAAAAAAAUCCACAAAAAUCCUUAUUCCUGUAUUUUUUAGAAAAACAUAUUCACCAAAACAUUAUCUCUUCUUCACCAAAACCUUCUCCAACACAUAAAAAUUGAAUUUUUAUCCCAAAACAAAACCUAUCUAUCACCUUCCCUCUUAAACGAACCUCUCUUAUCCACUUACCUUCUCAAUUGUUAUGCCUCUAUCUCCGACAACAACCACAACACCAACAACAACAAGCAACGCCGCUAACAACCGUCGAUGGGAUUUGAUGCUCCAUGAAUUCGUCACAGGCGGCGUCAAACAAUUCAAUUUUAUGUCCUCCUGGUGCCGAAUCCAGAUCUGUAAUCAAGGAAAACAUCAUAUUUUAAUUUGAUUCUGUCUCGAAUUUCCCUUCCAAAUCUACCGAAUCCAGAUUUGUCUUCAUGAACGAAGAGGCUGAGAAGUAAUUGUUUUGAAUUUGAAUCAGAUUCGAAUUUGGGAGAUUUGGGUUGCAGCGGUACUGGAUUUUCAGGAUUGAAUGUCAAGGAUUUGGGGAUGAACUUCUAGGGACAGUGAUAUCAUUCAUAUGUACUGAAGCAAAUCUGGAAAUUUGAACGAUGUGAUGAUGAUGAAUUUGUUGUAUUGAAGAUUUUGAUGAAUAUUGAUAACUUCUCAAA